GAUAAAGUAGGGUCAUAUCUGCUUGAAUGAAAUAAUGUUAUCCCGGUCUAUUGCAGACUCCAGGAGCAGGAGCCUGCAGCACUGCAGCACCACCAGAGGGAGGCGCUUCGCUGCUGUUGUUCCCUGUGUUCCAGUGCCAGUCCCCUCCCAGAAGAGCCUCCCCUGAGCUCCCAGUCUGCCGAAGUCCAACAUCCUCCACUGUCACUGACUCUGGGCAGCAGGGGACUGGAUCCAACCCUGCUCCAGCCUCAGCCCUGCCUCAUGUCCAUACUCAGAAAGGAGAGAAGGAAACAGAGGAUGGUGUUAAAGAGAUGGGUGGGGGCCUUCCGCCCUCCAAGGCCAGACCAGGAGCCCAAUUCUGGUCCUGAGGACAUAGGCCCCUCUCUCCAGUCCCUAGUGUCUGUGAGGGUUCUCUCUGAGUUUAGCCGCCCACCAUCCAGCCGAAGCACAGACCUGGGUAGUGGCCUGAGCAGUCCUCUAUGUGGUAUUGUACCUACACUGCUUUGAAGCAAUUGAAGUGAAAUGUAUUCGAAGCUGUUGCAUUCCCCAUGGGCCAAUUAGUUGUUUCAUAAAUUUAGAAAUUCAUAAUUACUUGUUGCCAAGGCUUGCUUUCCUAUCAUGUCAAAUGGAAGCAUAAUUAUUCCAUAUAUCCUUUUAUCCUUUUACAGUGAAUCUGAGUGACCUGGACUCCGAGGGUGGCUCUCCUCUCUCCCAGCACGGCUCCUCUUCCAUGUCCCUGUCUGCUCUGGCCUCAUGCACCCCACAGGACCCCCAACACACCAGCCUCCAAACCCAGCCCCUCACCACCCUCUACACCAUCCCCUCCCUCACCAGGCCCAACUCUGCCCACCUGACUGGACCACCACGGAGCCCCAGCCAGGCCAUGUCCUCCAUCACUACCCAGACCUAGACCCAUCCCUGGAUCCCAUCCCAGACCCUACCUCCCUAGCUUUCCCCUCAGACAUCUGGCAGUCCUACCCCAGCCCACAGUGCAGGAUAACUCCCCGACCAGGGUCACGGUUAGGGUCAGGUUUGACCUCAUCUCUUGUGGUGGCGGAGAGGCAGGACUGGACAUCACACCGCUGGUCCAUCCUUCCCCCAUCUCUCCUGUCAGAGAUGGCGGUGACACAGUGUCCUCCUGGUCCCGCUGUUCUCAGGUCAGCUCUAGCCAGUCCCAUGUGUUUGAUGACCUGGAGGCCAUUGCCCCGCGGACCGGCUCCUGUCUGUCCCUAGACCACCCACUCAGCCCAGCAGACUGCAGCCCACCUGGUACAGGUACUGUACAGAGCACCCAUAUUAUGUCCAGCAGAUCGUAUAAAAUACCACUGAUGUCAUACCUGUCAAAGGUCUACGAUUACAUCAGAAACGGGCUCUAUAUUUAUGUCAUACAUAUACUGUACAUGUGCUCCUCAAACUGUAGACACUUGAAAAAGAAGAGCUUUGUUGUAUGGCCAUUGGCUUUUUACUUUGUUUCAAAGUUGGUGAAUUAACCGUUAUUUUUUUUUAGAGCAGGUGAAUGCUUAACUAGCUACUUGUGGAAUGCACUUGAUGUUAAGAGUUGUUUCUACCUGGGCAGUCCGUGGUGUUAAAAUUAAUUAGCGUUAUUUAGACAGUUAUGUCAAUGAAAAGGUCACGGCACCUGAUUUCUUUUUCCUGUUUGUGGUUGUUGUUGUUGGUGUUGUGGACAUGUUUGUCUGACCGCCGUUAAUGCCUCAAUUAGACAUGCUCUCCUUCCUCAGCCUCUCUCAUGUAAUGGACUGGGGUGUGACGGUGAUGUGUGGAUCUCAGCGCUCUGUUGUGGAACAGUGUGUACGUCUUUGUGUGUGUACAGUAAAUGUGUGUGUGUCUCCUGAGGUUGGUCAGUUCAGUGAGCUGUGAAAGGAAACAUUACCCAACGCAGACAGUGAUUUUCUCACUCACUGAGGACUUCCCCAAGCUUCUCUCAUCCCCUCUAAUCCCUGACAAGGUGUUUAGGAUGUUUAACCUGCUCGCUUGACCUGAACCUCCGUCUGACCUCCAUGACCUUUGCCCUGAGGAUGUGGCGGGAUCAUGUCAGCUACCACCACUGCUGCAGCAGCUUAAUUCCACUCUUCUGUUCUGUGUUGUAACAUCUUCCUCAACUGACAAAUAUAGACAUCUACCACCCGUAUAGAGCCUGGAAAGCAAAGAAAUGUAAAACUGUCUUCAACUGACUGACUGCUUAAACUUUGCUCCUGACUCACAGGCAUCCAUGUGUGUCUGCCCACUCUCCAGUGACCCCGGCUGAGUGGCAGUAUAGCUAGUUAACACUUUAAUCACAGGGGUAGACCUUUGUUAUCUGUAACAGUGUGUCUUUACAAUGGGUUGCAUUCUCAUGGCUAAUGAGGGGGUUAACUCCCAGCCUAACUGAAAGUGUGUCAUCACAAUGUGUUUCCCCACGGGACUUCCUUCACCGCAACUCCUUAAUCAGACAGCCAGCCAGGUUCUUUUUUUCUCACCUGAAGGGAUUUACCUGACAAACAGAAACACACCCAGAGACAAGCAACACAUUGUAGAGGCAGGAGCAUUCCCUGGGCCAUGGGUAGGCAACCCUGGUCCUAGAGGUCCGCAGGCAGGUCAUGUUUUUGAUUUAACUGACCUGGAAGACCAGGUGUGUUGAAUGUAGGCAAUCACUGAACUGAGGAAUUAGCUCCAUUGGUCAGGUGUGGUGCCUCGUUGGAACAACAUCCUGCAGUACUCCAGGAACAGGGUUGGCCUCCCCGAUCUAGGCAGAAUUAAUUUCAAGUCGCUCAAAGCCUCUAAAAGGUCAUCUCUCAAAGGGCAUACUGUAAAAAUGCAAUACUGUACUUAACUAGAAAACUAUCCAGAUGUGAUACUUUUUAUGCGCUAUAAAACACAAUGCAUUCCACUAUGGCUGCUGUGUGGCUGGCUGAGAUGGUGGGACUGAGAGUGCAUUGAGAGGAGAAGCAGGGUUGACCUGCAGCGGAGCGUGAUAUGAGGCAGCUCCAGUCCAGCGGCUGUGUGAAAUCCCCUCCCAGGAACAGCAGCUCCACACCCUGCUCUCUGCCUGGGCGGUGUGGGCCGAGGAUUUGCAUGGGCAGGGAGCCCACACUGUUACUGAUCCACUUUUAAUUGGCGGUGACAGAACUUUGGAGCCUAGGUCUGGGGGGGGGGGGUGAAGCUGGAGGGUUGUCAGUCAUAUUUGCACACACACCUCACUGAUCCAUACAGGAUUAUUUCCUCUACCUCUAUUCUGGUUCAGAGAGGCUAUCCCUGGCCUUGGCCUACACUAUCUCUGGUUAUCCAUGUCUAAUGGAGUCCCUGUGAUAACCCCCUGAAUGUAGGGAUUCAGAGAAGGUGGUCACUCUGGUCCUGACUAAUGUAUUGUUUGUUGAGUCCCGUGUAGCUCAGUUGGUAGAGCAUGGCGCUUGCAAUGCCAGGGUUGUGGGUUUGAUUCCCACAGGGGACCAGUAUGAAAAAUCUAUGCACUCACUACUCUAAGUUGCUCUGGAUAAGAGUGUCUGCUAAAUGACAUAAAAAAAUACAAAAAAUGUAAAAUAAAAAGGGGUUAGUAGAUGUACUGACUGAUCCAAAGGACUCCCAUAGUGUCACGGUCGUGAUAAUGGACAGACCAAGGCGCAGCGUGUGUUGACUUCCACAUCUUUAUUUGCAGUGAAAACUUAAACAAUAAACAUACAACGACCGUGAACUACGUGGUGCUGAAUGCACUCACACAAAACAAUAUCCCACAAACGCAGGUGAGAAAAGGACCACGUUAAAUAUGAUCCCCAAUUAGAGGCAACGAUAAUCAGCUGCCUCCAAUUGGGAACCAUACUUACACCAACAUAGAAAUAUAAUACUAGAACACCCCCUAGUCACGCCCUGACCUACUGCACCAUAGAGAACCCCAAGGGCUCUCUAUGGUCAGGGCGUGACACAUAGUCCCUUUUUAAUGCUUUAGUUCUGAUGUGUUGGAUAUGCUGUUUCACAUAAUGCUUCAGUUGUCCUGUAUACUGUAUGCCACCUCUGCAGAGAUGUCCCCAGGCUUGGCUGCUCUGACAGUGGGCUGUGACUCAGGGGACCUGGACUCCCUGUCCCGUGUGCAGCUCCUGACCAGCUCCUCACUGGCUCGCUGGUCAGGACAAGUACUCCCCAACAGAAGACAGAACAACAGACCACACGGGGGAGCUCAGAGCCAGAAGACCUCUUAGUCCAAGACUGUAUACUACAGGUAUCCCUGAUUUACAACUCAACACCCAACCCAGUCUGUGAUUUAUUUGUGAGUCAGGGAAUGUGAUUGAACUGGCACAUGUCUUUAUAUGCACACUGUGUUUGAGACAUUGUCUCAGUAAGAUUACUAGAUGUAAACUCACUCCUUCGACAGUUUCUUUUGACAGUUACAAUGAGCCAAACUAUGACCUUUGAUAGAAACAGCAAAACCGUUGAUUUCACAACAGGGAAAAUCCAGACGGAGGAGUUUUCUGUAGGAUAGGCUGGUCAGGGGAAUACCAAGCAGCGUUAUGGGUGUGUACCUGCCGGUCGUUGGCCAGCCUUGAGAGUAAUGUCUUUACAGUGUGAACCGCCUCUCAUCUGCUCCCAGGCAUGCUGCUGCAGCAUCUUAACUGAAAGGCCAUAAAGAUAUGGAGGCUCAUUUCUGGCUUUGGCAGAACGUUUUAUUGGGAUAUGAUAUGCCAUAUUAAUAAAGAUCAAUUAUCAUUAACCUGGAGACCUCAGCCCAGACACACCGACAACUAGUUAAAAAUAUAUAUUUUAACAAUGGCACAAUCUGGAUGUGAUUAUGUCUGUGCGGCAUGCGCGUAUCAGUCUGGGUGAUGCAAGAAAUGGCAUAGAAAGUUGACCAAACGUCCCGUGAAGUGGUAAAAGGAACGUAAGUGGUCGAUGAGCAAACAGUUGGAAAUAAGCACAUCAUAUUGUAGUUUUAUAGGCAAACACAAGAUGUGUAACUUGUUUUCCAUGAUAUUGACAAUACUAAUGCUCAGUGUGAUGCUUCUCCUCUGAAUUGGCAAUGGCCUUGAAUACAGUCAUUGAAUCCAACUAAAUCCUCUUCACUCGGCGACGGUUCACUGUGGCCUGCCUGGAGAUGUAGACAUUGCAGGGAGCUAGUCUGUCUGUCUGUCCUCCUAGGUGUGUCUCCAGAACAAUGUUUUCCCAUUCUGUGUUUGCACCUGGCAUGCUUCUACGAGACAGGUGCUCCUCCAUGUUUUUCCCCCCCUCUUUUUAUAUCGGUAUUUGCAGAGAGAUUAGGAGCCAUACUUUUGACUAAUACAUGGCAUUACUCAUAUCGGUGCACGCACUCAAACACAAAGGAAAACACACACGCAAGUGUGUACACCGGGCACGUUGGCACGCGCACAAACUAUCUAUCCAGUGUGUGUGUGUGUGUGUGUGUGUGUCUGUGUGUGUGUGUGUGUGUGUGUGUGUGUGUGUGUGUGUGUGUGUGUGUGUGUGUGUGUGUGUGUGUGUGUGUUGUUGUCAGGCGUCCUGCAGCCCCUCGCAGCUGUGGAGACGGCAGUGUGUCUGAGAGGUGUGUCGCCACAGGCAAAGUCCAGGGACAGGGUGACCACACAAUGGUGAGUGUCUGUAGCCCCUCCUCAAACUACCCCUCACAACAACCCCCCCUUGUAGCUUUCAUCCGUCUCCUUAAAUGACUAUUGCACAUUGUUGUUUAAACACGGACUAUACAAACACACAGACACGGACUGAGACAAAGACCUCUAUUUACAGUAUAAACUUGAACUGGCAUGAAUUUGUAACUGCCAUCCCGGAUCAAGCAGCCAAAUUGUUGUUGAUAAUUGAAACACAAUAUAAUAACAGUGAGAGAAGCGUGCUGUGCA
rnacentral:tRNA from 1 species